rnacentral:rRNA from 1 species
AGAAUGCUAGUCAGCGCACUCAAGCCAACAUGAGAGCGCGGCACACAGNNUAGNNAACACGUGGCUAACCUGCCCUCGGGACGGGGACACNNNUGGGAAACUGGGGCUAAUCCCCGAUAGGUGAAGAACUCUGGAAUGAAUCUCCACCCAAAAGACGCUUACGCCAUGCUCGCAAGCGCCGCCCAAGGAUGGGGCCGCGACCGAUCAGGUUGUUGGUGAGGCAACGGCUCACCAAGCCAUUUACCGGUGCGGGCCGUGGGAGCGGGAGCCCGGAGAUGGGCACUGAGACAAGGGCCCAGGCCCUACGGGGCGCAGCAGUCGCGAAAACUUUGCAAUAAGCGAAAGCUUGACAGGGCUAUCCCGAGUGCCAUCCGCUGAGGAAGGCUUUUCCCCAGUCUAGAAAGCUGGGGGAAUAAGGAGAGGGCAAGACUGGUGUCAGCCGCCGCGGUAAUACCAGCUCUCCGAGUGGUGUGGAUGUUUAUUGGGCCUAAAGCAUCCGUAGCUGGCUGGGCAAGUCCCCUGUUAAAUCCACCGAUUUAAUCGUUGGCGUGCGGGGGAUACUGCUUAGCUAGGGGACGGGAGAGGCCGACGGUAUUUUCGGGGUAGGGGUGAAAUCCUAUAAUCCCGGGAAGACCACCAGUGGCGAAGGCUGUCGGCUAGAACGCGCCCGACGGUGAGGGAUGAAAGCUGGGGUAGCGAACCGGAUUAGAUACCCGGGUAGUCCCAGCUGUAAAACGAU